UCCUCCUUUUCCUAAAGUCACUGGCCAUGCUCGCAGAACUAAAAGAAGGGAUCAGCAUCCAUUAGGCUGGUGUUGGAGGAGGUUCACCCGUGACUCAGAAUGACUGAUGGAAGAAGAGUUCCAACAACAUGACUCUGUCCAGAGAAGGCCUGCCACAGGGGAGGAAAAGACUCCAAAAAGGAACACAGCCGAAACCAGGAUAAAAAGCUUUGACUCUGGAUUGUUUCUUCCUUUUUCAUACUCUCUUUGCCUAAAUCAAAUAAAAUUUGACAUUGCCUG